GUGUGUGUGUGUGUGUGUGUGUGUGUGUGUGUGUGUGUGUGUUUUGUUGUUCUACAGGCUCUGCUUUUAGAGAUUCAGUCAUCACUUUCAUUGUCUACAAGAAUAAAGUACACUUGCAUAUACUCCUGAAUAAAUCAUGAAUUAUUAGGAAUAUAAUUUUCAUUCUUCAUUUCUCUCCUGUACACAACCUUUUGAGGCCUAUUCUACUGCACUCCUUAUUGUACAUAAAAUAUUUAAUAAAAGAAAUCAAGCUACUGUGCAGUCAUCAUCUACCAGUUUUCCUAAUACACAUACAAAACUUACAUACAACACACAUGGUAAGUUUUAACUGAAACUCCUUCAGGAUAAGAAAUAGGACUAAAUAUAUGCAUCUAAAGAUCAAAAGUGCAUACGUGUCCAUUUCUAGAUAGGGUUCAUUUUUCCCACUUCCACUCUACUCAUUUAUCUAGUGAUGCUCAUAAUUCAACUAAAACUUAGGCAUGAGGAUAAUUUAAUAGAGAAUAUGGUCAGCACAUAUUCCAGAAUUUUCUAACCAUUCGAUCCAACAGCUAGACCUAAGAUGUAAUAUGGCAUCCAUUGAAUAGGAGUUGCUUAUGUAGGCUAACUCGAGUACUGAAAAGUACUAAAACUGGGUAAUUAUGAUCAGACAACUGAUACUGGGAGUUGCAGCAAGAUUUCAUAUUACUACUUCUGUCGCACUCCAGCAAAAACUGAACCGAAUGUGGUUACUCUUAACUCAUGUCACAUCAAUAUUCUCAGCCCGAGGGGAAAACGGCAGACGCUACAGAAGCCCACACGAUGCAGUAGAAAACGAUUAAGAGGGCCCUUUUAUGAAACAGUCAGCUGGAAGAAAGCCUCGCUAAUGUGAAGCACGAGUUUAGCCAUGCCCGGACAACACUGCUCGGCUCUCCUACGCGAAGCACCAGCAGAGAAUGGAGAGAGGUGAAGGUUGCUGGAGACUCUCCUGGAGAGGCUGCAUCACUGCACACUGCACUUGGAGUUGAGGACAGAGGGAACAAUGAGUUCUGUUUAAGAACACACCGACUGGCUCACUACAGGAAGUGUUGAGUCAGACAAUUCAACUUCAGUCUGCACAAAAGUCUAAUAAAGAAAUUACUCUUAUUUUAGAGAGCAAAUCACACUGAAUACGCAAGUUAAGGUUGAAUUCUAAAAGGUACAUGGGGAAUGUGUGAGUACUGAGAAUAUAACUAAAAUGUCUAAAGGAUUUUAAGAAAGAAGAGAACAACCACUUGUAUGUGGUGUGAUGUGCAUAUCACUGAUGGGUUAUUCAGCAUACCUUAGCUUUGCAUUUUUGGUCUGCAAUGUGUUCAUUCCAAUGCAUUCAGUCACAGGCCAUUACUGUGGCUAGUUAUUUCAGGAGUUGUCUUCAUUACAGUUUAAAACACAUCACUAAGCUCUGUAAACCUUUAUGUAUUAUUGUUAUCUUGCUUAAUGUGUUACUUAUAAUAAUAAUACUUCUGAGAUAUGAGGUAUUUAUAUAAAUUACCAUAAAUAAAUGUCAUCCCUUGAUACACUUCAAUAUCAAGUAUGAUGACAAAAUGUGGCUUUAACUAAAAGACCUGACAGCAACCAUAUUUGUAAGUGUAAUGACCAAGAAAUCACUCACAUGGGACCAGCUACUUUGUCCAGCACACCAUGACAGCAAACCGGAUGACAAUGUUGUGGAUUGACCUAGCUACACAAAUGUAGCCUUUAUUGUCACCAUUUGCAUGGUAUGAUCAUGCCAGAGAUACAUUUAAACUUUUGUAUUACUUAACACAGUACCCUAACCUCUGUUUUUUUUACAAAAACACUCAUUUGUCUGUUUAAUUACUGAUUGCCAGUCUCCUUGUUUAGCCCCCCAACAGAAAUCAUUUUUGAGGAGACAUGACGUAAAUGUGAAAAGCCAGCUCUUUAUCAAACUUCACAAGUAAAGACAAGACUCUUCUUUCAAUCGUCACUGUAUUUUUGUACAUAAUUGUUUUAUUUCUUGAGGUACACCCGGAAACCUUAGCCUAUUUAGAUUCAUCAGGCUACAUGAUAAAAUAAAAUGAAUAUGCCUAUAUGAACAUUUAUUUUUUUCAUAUAUAUAUUGUAAAUUAACAAAAUUUGCAUUCACUCCCAUUACCUAAUUUUUUCACACCCCCAGAUCCACACAUGAACAUGACCCCACUGGAGAAGUUGCAGCAAGAGUUGCAGAGCAAGAAUUCUCCGGGGGAACUUGCUUGCACCCCAUCACUUGUCAAAGAGUUUUGUUGUGGUGUGAAAGUGGGGUAGCGGCAUGGGAGGAGGGGGACACUCGAGGGGGGUGAGGAGAGGGUUUUGUUCUCCCAUUCAGGAGUGGCAGGGGCUCCUCCCCCGUGCCCUCAGACAUCUGUAGCAGCUGCUGCCCUGGCCCCCGUGCCUCAGUCCGGGUGCGGAGGGGUGAGGGGGUGUGUGUAGGGCCGCCUCUCCCUUUAUGGUGGCCAAAGCCUGCACACUUAGGCAACAACAUCUAUCAAAAAGCCAACAGUAGCCGUGAGGUCACCCUGAAAACACAACAGUGACCUUUUGACCCCUUAAGUGAGCUGGUCUCAUAAGCUCCUGGCCUCUCGUGCUGAUUUACUCACCUAUUAAACAACGCCCCCCGCCAGAAAGAAAAAGAAUAUGAUGGCAAAUUGCACACUUAAAUUGCUCAUUUUUGAUAUGACACAGUCCACUGGGGGAGUAUUUUACCUUGCAUCUUAUCAGGUCUGCCAUGGGGGGGGUUACAGAUGACCCCGGACACAAGUCCAGGGGGGGCCCAUGCAAAGGUCUUUGAUUAAAUAGUGUGUUAGAGAAGAGAGCUGUUUUGUCAUGUGGAAAUUGAACAUGCGUUGUGUGUUUAUUGGCGUGCGCAAAUGGCCAGUCAGCAAUGUGGGGGUGGGGGGCGUCAGUGGUGCCAUUCAGAGUUCAAUCCCCAAUGAGAAGAUUCUUGAGAUAAUUUUGUCCCUGGGCCCGAGCAAGAUGAACAUCUUCUGAAGACACAAACCUCUUUACCACUCAUGACAUUAAGAUAUUAGCUGCAUUUGCAUAGUCAUGCAACACUGUUGUACUUAUGGAAAGGCCUAAUGUGACAGAGAGGGAUGGGCUUAUUUCCAUGCUAAAGCAAUGUGUUAUGAUUCUGAGGGCAGGCGGGUUAAGAGGAUUUUAACUUGUGACAUCUUUUGAGUUAUGGCAAAGACCUCUUAAACUUGGAUUUUCUAUUCGUCAAUCACAUUGACUGGCUCAUUCCUUUACAUAUGCUGCCACCUUACAUUCACACUACAAUUGAAGCCUGUUAUCACAUGCAACAGUGUUUUCGGCUAGAUCUUCUCAAUUGAGGCUGUGUGGUGUGUGGUGUAAGCUGUAAGGCUGAGGUUAUGAGACAUUUGUAGGCCUCCAAUCCAUAAAAUGAUCUUAUGUUGAUGACACAAUAUACUGAAUCAAUUUCAAACCUAUAGCCUAUUCAACUGUAGUGGCAUUGUGGACAAAAAACAGACAAAUAUAUUUCCGUUACCAUUUCAAAUAAAAUACGAAACAUAAAAAGAAACAUUUGCAUAGCCUACUAAUGUUUAAUCGCAGUUUGAUAGUCAGUUUCAGUUCAACUUUAGGACAUGACCGCGUGAAGUAAGGCUAACGAGAAAGUAGCGGCACUUGCCUCCAUGGUUUCACAGACCCGCUGUUUCCAACCCAAACGGAAGUCCCGCCCCUCAGCUUUACUCCGAUGAUGUAACCUCUCUCCAAAUUUAGCAUGUUGUUGAUGCUUCAGAAGUUUUUUCCUCUGGCUGAGACUGCUGUCUAUUACUCGACGUCAUAACUAUCCUGUUAUUAUUGUAAACAGUCUGCCUGCUUGCUUUGCACUGUCGCCCUCCACCUAACCAAAUUCUCCGUGGCUCUUUGUUCACAAAGUAGAGGAAUCGACACCGAACCAGUCACACACAGCACAUUUGCCCUUGCAAUAUUACAAAUGUACGCAAUCAUAGUAAAUGUUCUAAAUGAGCAACAUGUGAGCGUGUAUUUUAUGAUAUCGCAAAAUAAUUAGGCUAUAUCAUUUAGAGCUGCGCCUGGACAACAAAUCACACAGCUCGUUGCAGCCGUAAGAAAUCACAUCAAACCGGCACUUCGUGUUUGGGCUUCACAAAGCAUUCCUUGAGAGACGGGAAAUUUCAUAUUAGACUCACUGUUAGGCAAAGAUAUUCCGUAUUCGUAGUCAAGCGAAAUACGCGUUAUCAACAGGCUACUACAAUGCGCUUUAUAUUUAUUUUACAAUAUGAAUGAUAAAGUGAAAUAAAUGUAUUGUAGCCUAUUUGAUUCAAGCACCACCACGCGCAGCUCAACAUAAAUACAUUCAAUGGACUAUAGCGCCAUUCUUUAUAGUUUACACUCAGUAGCCAGUGAACCGUGGUUUGAUCAUUUGUUCCCCAUGGUGCGAGGAAAUCAGCUAUGAAAAGGUCAAUAAUGUUGGCUAACGUAGCUCGGUUUGGUUUUGCCCGCGAAAAACAGCGCACACCAACUUUAAUCUUCAGUAAUUAAAACGGCCUGGAGAAAACAAAAUCGCGCUGUCGCGCUUUGUGAUCUCGCCAGAAAUUGGAGCAGUGGAUAUAGGACGAUGGGCGAUGUGUAGGCUAUAGAUAAGAGAUUACAAAAUAGCCUACUACGAGUGGUUAAUGACACUUACUUGAGUCUCCGAAACCUGGAAAGCGCCGUUCAUCCCUGCGUACGUCAACAAAACGCUCUACAGUAAUUGUAUUCCGUGAGGUAGCAGGACCAUCAGCCUGUCAAUGCCGGACCGCGUCUGUUUUUAUUGCAAUUACGGCAAGCUUCAAGGAAGUUGUCCUUUUGUUCCAGUAUUUAUACAUUGCGUCAACGUUGCGAGGAGAGAAGGCGGAGCGGUGGCACUUGGCGAAAAAAAGCAAGCACACGACCUU
ensembl:lncRNA